rnacentral:rRNA from 1 species
AGCGAACGCGGGCGGCGUGCUUAACACAUGCAAGUCGAGUGCGCGCCUGUAGCAAUACAGGUGGCGCACGGCGCACGGGUGCGUAACACGUGGAUAAUCUGCCCUUCGAUGGGGAAUAACUCCGGGAAACCGAAGCUAAUUCCGCAUAACAUUCCGAGAACUCCGGUUUUGGAUUCAAAGGCGUAAGUCGUCGAAGGAGGAGUCCGCGCACGAUUAGCUAGUUGGUGAGGUAACGGCUCACCAAGGCUAUGAUCGUUAGCUGGUCUGAGAGGAUGGCCAGCCACACUGGAACUGAGACACGGUCCAGACUCCUACGGGAGGCAGCAGUGGGGAAUCUUGCACAAUGGGCGAAAGCCUGAUGCAGCGACGCCGCGUGGGGGAUGAAGCUUUUCGGAGUGUAAACCCCUUUCGACCCGGACGAAUGCCUCGCAAGAGGACUGACGGUACGGGUAUAAGAAGCCCCGGCUAACUACGUGCCAGCAGCCGCGGUAAGACGUAGGGGGCCAGCGUUGCUCGGAAUUACUGGGUGUAAAGGGUUCGUAGGCGGUGUGGCAAGUCGGGAGUGAAAUCUCUGGGCUCAACUCAGAGACUGCUUCCGAAACUGCUG